CCCAGACUCCUACGGGAGGCAGCAGUGGGGGAUAUUGCACAAUGGGGGGAACCCUGAUGCAGCGACGCCGCGUGGGUGAAGAAGUAUUUCGGUAUGUAAAGCCCUAUCGGCAGGGAAGAAAUUGGACGGUACCUGACUAAGAAGCCCUGGCUAACUACGUGCCAGCAGCCGCGGUAAUACGUAGGGGGCAAGCGUUAUCCGGAUUCACUGGGUGUAAAGGGAGCGUAGACGGCCAUGCAAGCCUGGAGUGAAAGCCCGGGGCCCAACCCCGGGACUGCUCUGGGAACUGUGCGGCUGGAGUGCGGGAGGGGCAGGCGGAAUUCCUGGUGUAGCGGUGAAAUGCGUAGAUAUCAGGAGGAACACCGGCGGCGAAGGCGGCCUGCUGGACCGCGACUGACGUUGAGGCUCGAAAGCGUGGGGAGCAAACAGGAUUAGAUACCCCCGUAU
rnacentral:rRNA from 1 species